rnacentral:snoRNA from 1 species
UGGACCAGUGAUGCUGACUGGUGGUGUAUGUGUCUUGGUUGAUGAAAACAAGUGAGUUCCAA